CAAGCCCUGGAAACGGGGUCUAAUACCGGAUAUGACUAUCUGCCGCGUGGUGGAUGGUGUAAAGCUCCGGCGGUGCAGGAUGAGCCCGCGGCCUAUCAGCUUGUUGGUGAGGUAGUGGCUCACCAAGGCGACGACGGGUAGCCGGCCUGAGAGGGCGACCGGCCACACUGGGACUGAGACACGGCCCAGACUCCUACGGGAGGCAGCAGUGGGGAAUAUUGCACAAUGGGCGAAAGCCUGAUGCAGCGACGCCGCGUGAGGGAUGACGGCCUUCGGGUUGUAAACCUCUUUCAGCAGGGAAGAAGCGAAAGUGACGGUACCUGCAGAAGAAGCGCCGGCUAACUACGUGCCAGCAGCCGCGGUAAUACGUAGGGCGCAAGCGUUGUCCGGAAUUAUUGGGCGUAAAGAGCUCGUAGGCGGCUUGUCACGUCGGUUGUGAAAGCCCGGGGCUUAACCCCGGGUCUGCAGUCGAUACGGGCAGGCUAGAGUUCGGUAGGGGAGAUCGGAAUUCCUGG
rnacentral:rRNA from 1 species